rnacentral:rRNA from 1 species
CGGACGGGUGAGUAACACGUGGGUAACCUACCUAUAAGACUGGGACAACUUCGGGAAACCGGAGCUAAUACCGGAUAAUAUGUUGAACCGCAUGGUUCAAUAGUGAAAGAUGGUUUUGCUAUCACUUAUAGAUGGACUCGCGCCGUAUUAGCUAGUUGGUGAGGUAAUGGCUCACCAAGGCAACGAUACGUAGCCGACCUGAGAGGGUGAUCGGCCACACUGGAACUGAGACACGGUCCAG